GGAGAAGUACUCAAGUUGGCCGAAGAGGCGCCCCUGCUAAGGGUGUAGGUCGUUUAAAGACGGCGCGAGGGUUCGAAUCCCUCCUUCUCCGCCA
rnacentral:tRNA from 1 species